AAGCAAGUAGAACGCUGAAGAGAGGAGCUUGCUCUUCUUGGAUGAGUUGCGAACGGGUGAGUAACGCGUAGGUAACCUGCCUGGUAGCGGGGGAUAACUAUUGGAAACGAUAGCUAAUACCGCAUAAAAUGGAUUAUCGCAUGAUAAUCCAUUGAAAGGUGCAAAUGCAUCACUACCAGAUGGACCUGCGUUGUAUUAGCUAGUUGGUGGGGUAACGGCUCACCAAGGCGACGAUACAUAGCCGACCUGAGAGGGUGAUCGGCCACACUGGGACUGAGACACGGCCCAGACUCCUACGGGAGGCAGCAGUAGGGAAUCUUCGGCAAUGGACGGAAGUCUGACCGAGCAACGCCGCGUGAGUGAAGAAGGUUUUCGGAUCGUAAAGCUCUGUUGUAAGAGAAGAACGAGUGUGAGAGUGGAAAGUUCACACUGUGACGGUAUCUUACCAGAAAGGGACGGCUAACUACGUGCCAGCAGCCGCGGUAAUACGUAGGUCCCGAGCGUUGUCCGGAUUUAUUGGGCGUAAAGCGAGCGCAGGCGGUUAGAUAAGUCUGAAGUUAAAGGCUGUGGCUUAACCAUAGUACGCUUUGGAAACUGUUUAACUUGAGUGCAAGAGGGGAGAGUGGAAUUCCAUGUGUAGCGGUGAAAUGCGUAGAUAUAUGGAGGAACACCGGUGGCGAAAGCGGCUCUCUGGCUUGUAACUGACCUGAGCUCGCGUGGGGACAAACAGGAUUAGAUACCCUGGGUAUCGCCGCGA
rnacentral:rRNA from 1 species